rnacentral:rRNA from 1 species
GACGAACGCUGGCGGCGUGCUUAACACAUGCAAGUCGAACGAAGUGGCGAACGGGUGAGUAACGCGUAAUCAACCUGCCCUUCAGGGGGGGACCACAGUUGGAAACGACUGCUAAUACCGCAUACUGAAGGCGGGGAUGGCGUCGGAUUAGCUAGUUGGGGGGGGAACGGCCCCCCAAGGCGAUGAUCAGUAGCCGGGCUUGGAGGAUGAACGGCCACAUUGGGACUGAGACACGGCCCAGACUCCUACGGGAGGCAGCAGGGGGGAAUCUUCGGCAAUGGACGAAAGUCUUACGGAGCAACGCCGCGUGAGUGAUGACGGCCUUCGGGUUUUAAAGCUCUGUUAAUCGGGACGCGGUACCGGAAUAGAAAGCCACGGCUAACUACGUGCCAGCAGCCGCGGUAAUUC